rnacentral:rRNA from 1 species
CGGACGGGUGAGUAACGCGUAGGAACCUGACCAAGCAGGUGGGGGAAUAACAGCUGGAAACGGCUGCUAAUACCGCAUACNCCCGUUCGGGGGAAAGAUUUUAUCGCUGUUUGAGGGUCCUGCGUUCGAUUAGCUAGUUGGUGAGGUAACGGCCCACCAAGGCGACGAUCGAUAGCUGGUCUGAGAGGAUGAUCAGCCACACGUGGGACUGAGACACCGGCCCAGACUCCGUACGGGGAGGCAGCAGGUGGGAAUAUUGGACAUGGGGGAAACCCUGAUCCAGCAAUGCCGCGUGCGUGAAGAAGGCCUUAGGGUUGUAAAGCGCUUUCACCUGUGAUGAUGAUGACAGUAGCAGGAGAAGAAGCCCCGGCUAACUCCGUG